GCCGGGAGCCAUUCGWUUGCUGUUUAUCAGCUGUCUGUGCGUACUUGUGAGCAGAAACCCAAACCUAAACCCUAAAAACGGAAAGUUCCGUCCAUCGGAACUCAGAUGGUAUUUCUCUGUGCUUCUACAUGGAGUUCAGAGCCCUAAAUAUCAGAGCUCCAAUCUUAUCUACCCGGGGACUGUUUCAUCCAGACUUGGCCAGGGCAAUUAUUUCUAUCCUUGUUCUGUUUUGUACUUUCGUUUAUCAUGCUUCAUGUGAACCAUGCUUCAUUUCUGAGCUUCAAUCAGUGUCAAAUGAAGACGCUGGGUAUUACAUGAAUAAUCCUGAGGGCAUCCAUGACGCAUUUCCAGCAGUCAUUAGAUUGGGCAGUCAUCCAACGGCGUGCUUAAGUUUUGAAAGUGUUUGUACUGACAGUCGUUUAUUUUGCUUUCCUUCAACGCUACCUGACUUUUCGUCGAAUGAAAAAGGGAUAGAUGUAGAGGUUUCUUUGGAUCAGUUUGACGGUACAUCCUCCAUUGGAUCGACUCAAGAUGACAAAUUGGCUGCAAACAAAAGCCAGUUAUCAGAUUAUGGUAUGUUUGAAUUAUUUGAAGGUGGGAUAAUUUCAUGCUCUUUAAACUCAAGACAGGGUGUUAAUGAAUUGUCUUCCAUACAACAAUUUGAUAGCACUAGUAAAUUUGAUCUUUCUACGUGUAGAGGGGAUCCACUUAAUCAUAAAAUCCCAAGUUCUACGAAAAAGAAAAAUAUUGAUGUCAUGAAUUCAGAUUUUUCAGAGAGUUCUAUAUCUCCCGAUGUAGAUAUUAGUCCAACUGAGUUGGAUUGGAAGCAGGAAUUUUUAUACUUACCUUCUUUAGCUUCAAUAACCGUGACGAAUACAUGCAACCAAAGUAUUCUACAUAUCUACGAACCAUUCAGCACUGACUCACAGUUCUAUUCUUGCAAUUUUAGUGAGGCUCUUUUAGGACCUGGUGAAGCUGUUUCUAUUUACUUUGUUUUCUUCCCAAAAUAUUUGGGCUCGUCCUCUGCCCAUCUGAUUUUGCAAACAAGUUUUGGUGGUUUUUUGGUAUCGGCUAAAGGCUUUGCCAUUCAGUCACCUUAUGGAAUCCAGCCGUCGUUAAGCCUAAAUGUACACUCAAGUGGGAGAUUGACUAAAAAUUUGUCUUUAUUCAAUCCCUUCGAUGAUGUUCUCUAUGUUGAGGAAUUAACAGGAUGGAUAUCAGUUUUUAAAGAGGAUGAAUACUACCAUGCAGAAGCAGUUUGUAGARUAGAAAGAUAUCAGGUAUUUGAUGAACCAAAGUUACCAAUUGUGAAAGAUGGCUUGGUUAUCCAACAUGGUCAGAUAGGCUCACCACUGUUGUCUAUGAAGCCCUACAAACAGUGGAAGAUAGAUCCUCACAGCAAUGAAACUAUUAUAGAAGUGGACUUGUCAUUCAAAUAUGGUGGGACAAUCAUUGGCACAUUUUGGCUGCAGUUAUCAAGGCCUUCACAGGAUAAGCCUGAUGUAAUUGUGGUGCCUCUUGAAGCUGAACUUGAAGGGGGAUCAACCCAUGAUGAUCAUAAAGGGUCUGUAUUUGCAUCUUUUGAGCCUUUACUGUACCAUGGAAAUGUUUUUGUUGCUGUUGCCCUGAAGAACAUUGCUUCUCACAUGCUUAGUGUUCUUAAGAUCAUUGAAGUGGCUGAAAGCAAGGUUUUCGAGUUUAAAAGCUUGGAAGGCUUGCUACUUUUCCCUGGAACUGCCACACAAGUUGCUCUGGUUACCUGUAAUACACGACAUGCUCACUUCCACAAGUCUUCACCUGAAAUUUUCAAUAUGUAUAGUAAAUGUAAAUUACUUGUCUUGACUAAUGAGUCAAGUAGUUCCCAUAUUGAAGUUCCUUGCGAGGAUAUAUUCCUUUUAUGUUCAGAAUACUGGAAGUACUCUUUCAUGGGAAAUGGAAAGCUAUCUGAACGCWUCAUGUCUGGUAAUGUGAGAAYAGAGUCUCUGGGCAAUCAUGUGCGGUUACAGUCAGAGAUCAAGGCCAUGGAGAGAGCAGAAGCAGAUGAAUUGGUGCUUGAAAAUUGGAUUUCUAUGGGGACCAGAAGAUCCAUGUCUGUGCUUGAUGAACACGAGGUAUUUUUUCCCAUGGUCGAGGUUGGAAGUCAUUGGACUAAGUGGAUCACUGUGAAAAAUCCAAGCAAGUGGCCAGUUGUAAUGCAGCUAAUCAUUAAUUCAGGUGAAAUGGUUGACGAAUGCAGAGAUCGUGAGGGACUUAUCCACCUACCAUCCGGUGGCUUAAUUCACAACGACUUUACUAUGCCGAAGAAGCAUGGAUUUUCACUAUCAGAGGGUGCAGUUACGGAGGCCUAUGUUCAUCCUUUUGAGGAUGUGCUUUUGGGACCAGUAGUCUUUUACCCUUCUGGUCGAUGUCACUGGAGAAGUUCAGUUUUGAUAAGAAAUAAUCUAUCUGGGGUAGAGUGGCUGUCGUUGAGAGGAUACGGGGGUUCAUCUUCUCUGCUUUUUCUCGAGGGUUCAAAACCUGUUAUCAGUAUAGAGUUUGAGCUUGAAUCCCCAAUUUUGCUCAAUAUCUCCCCUUCAGAAAGAUCAGUCCGUAUGGAAGAGAUCAGCCAUACUUGUACAUUGCCAUUGUCUAAAGAGUUCUAUGCCAAGAACACUGGCGACUUGCCUUUAGAGUUCAAGAAAAUAAAAAUCUCUGGUGCAGAAUGUGCAUUAGAUGGUUUCUUAGUACACAAUUGUAAUGAUUUUGUCCUUGAACCUGGAGAGUCGAAGAAACUUGUGAUAUCAUACCAGACUGAUCUUUCCGCAGCUGUGGUUUAUAGAGAUCUUGAACUGGCCUUGGCUACUGGUAUACUUGUAAUACCCAUGAAGGCAAGUCUCCCCUUCUAUAUGCUCAAUAAUUGCAGAAAAUCAGUGUUGUGGACACGAUUGAAGAAAUUAUCUUUCGCUGUUCUCCUAGUUGCUUCUCUAAUGCUUCUGUUCUUCUGUUGGAUUUUGCCACACAUGAUAUCUUUCAGCUUUCUGGAUUUCUCGGGCAAGUAUGGUAUCRAUUUCAUCUCUAGUUCUCCAAGGAGUACUGAGCAACCUUGUUCAGUGCGUCAUGGUGAGAAAAGCAGUAAAUUCUCAGAUGUUUGGUCUGUUUUUGAAGAGGAAGGAGCACCACAAGCCUCUCUGCAGUCAAAAUCUCUAGCAAUAGAGGAUUCUGAUGCUGUUCAAGCAUCUCAACCAAAUUACCUCACUGUGAAAACUGGAAAGGAGAGGGAUAGGGGGAGGCGGCGAAAGAAGAAAAAGGGAGGUGGUAUGAAGUUAGCUGGUCUAUUUGAAGUUUCCAGUAGUCAAAGUGGUAAUUCUACGCCUUCAUCUCCGUUGUCACCCACAGCAUCUGGUACACCAAAACGUACAUGGCCUUUGUCUCCCGAUGUGAACCAAUCCAUAGAGGCAACUAAUCUGUUUGCUCGGGUGGUAGACGAUACCCAAUGUCACAAGAUGCAAACAUCCAAACCUACUGUUACGAACACAUCGAAACCUGAAGUUACUGCAAAGAACUGCACUGACAGCUUGGUUUCAUCUCCCAAAGAGGCUCCUUUGGAAUUGAAAAAGAAUUACAGUAAACCUGUUUUGCUGCCUUCUGCCACUUUUCCUUCUGCUGGGAGGCCUGCACCAAAUGUCAUAUGCUCUCCUCUGGUUGCUUCGACAUCCAAAAUUGCUCCACAUGCUCGAGCUCCUGGUUCUAAAAUCUUCAACCAGAAAGCUUGUUUAGAAGAGGAUGGUAAGUCUGGGAUUCAAGAUAAAUACAAAUAUGAUAUCUGGGGUGAUCACUUCUCAGGACUUCAUUUGAUUAAUAAAUCAAAAGAUGUCCCUUCCAUGAUCCCCAGUACCAUAGAAAAGGACUCUGAUAGCUUUUUUGAAACGAGUCCUCAAACUCUCGUCGCAAAGUCCCACCCAAUGUCUUUUUUCUAAACAAAACCCAGGAUGACAAAUCUCUCACAGGGGUUGGAGAAUUUUCAGUUUGGAUGGGGAUAUUGACAUAUUCUGUAGGAUCGAGAGUGGCCAAUAUAUGCAGGAAUACUUGACAUAUUCUAGUUUAAUAUGUCUUUACUUUAGRGUUCAUUUGAACGAAUAAUUAAACUAAUGAAGAAACCUUCAUCAUGAGCACUUGGGUCAAAGGUCAAAUAACAAAUAAAUUUUAGUAUCACUUAAAGCCAUUUGAUGAUUGUCGUCGGUUGAACUUUUGCACUAACCAUUAGUUGUGAUUGUAGUAACACUCGAGAAAUCAAUGUAUGGUGGUUGCAUUACUGCAAUGGAAUUGCAUUGACUUUGGAAGAAGAGAUAAUCGUGAAAUUUGAUUGAGUACAACGACAUGUUGUAGAGGUUAAAUGAUGAAUAGUAACAGGGGUUGAAUCUCCAUUGACGAAGCGACAGCGACGAGAGAGGGAAGGAGAUGGCCCUCAAAAGGAGGUGUCGAUGGAGAAAAUAAAGCCAAUCCCUUUUGCACUGCAUUUACUCUCUGAAUUUGAAUGGAAAAAAGAAACUUGAAGGGGCCAUUUUUGAUCAGGUUGCCUGMGUCUGAGAGACCCAACGAAAGUGACUGUGCCAACCCAGCAACUACAAAUCCAGCCUUCCUUUUCUGCGAAAUUAGCUUUGUUCUUCAAUCUGGGUUUUCUGGGUGGGCCCAUUUAAAAGUGGUCCAUUGGACCACAUUUACAGCCAGCCCAUGGGCAGGGCCUGGGCCCAUGAUGGGUAUCUUUAACUUCCCUGAGUUUCUUCAAGGGAUUCAUGUGUGGCAAUAAUGAAACGUUACUUUCUAUGAUAAAAGUACAACCUUCCAUUUUGUGUGUAUUUCUGUUCUUUCGUAUCAUUCAUUUCAUGCAUGUCMCUGGGGGAGGAGAUUACUAGCUGCC